GACGAACCGUGCGAACGUUGUUCGGAAUCACUGGGCUUAAAGGGCGCGUAGGCGGCAUGACAAGUCUGGGGUGAAAUCCUCCGGCUCAACCGGAGAAUUGCCUGGGAAACUAGCAUGCUCGAGGGAGGUAGAGGUGGCCGGAAACUUCCAGUGGAGCGGUGAAAAUGCGUUGAUAUUGGAAGGAACGCCGGAGCCGAAAGGGGGGCCACUGGACCUCUUCUGACGCUGAUGCGCGAAAAGCUAGGGGGAGCGAACGGG
rnacentral:rRNA from 1 species